AGAUGAUACAGAUAAAUAAAAUAAAAAAUGAAAGAGGAGACAUUACAGCUGAUACCAGAGAAACACGAAGGAUCAUAAGAGACUACUGUGUACCAUUAUAUGUUAUCAAAUUAGACAACCUAGAAGAAAUGGAUAAAUUCCUAGACUAAUACAACCACUCAAGACAGACUCAUGAAGAAAUAGAAAAUCUGAAGACACUGAUAAUGAGUAAGGGGAUUGAAUCAGUAAUAAAAAAUAUUCCAUCAAUGGAAAGCCUAGGAUCUCCCGGCUUCACAGCUGAGUUCUACCAAACAUUUAAAGAAAAACUAAUAAAACACUUCUCACACUUUUCCAAAAAAAAAAAAAAAAAAAAAAAAACAAAGAGGAGGAAUUACUUUCACCUCUUCUUUUCAUGAAGCUAUCAUUACCUUAAUAUAUAACCAGACAAGGAAAUUACAAGGAAAUAUCCUUGAACAUAGAUUCAAAAAUCUUUCACAAAAAUACUAGCCAACUGAAUUCAACAACACAUUAAAGGAUCAUCCACCAUGUUCAAGUAAGAUUUAUCAUUGUGAUGCAAGGAUGGCUUAAUAUAUACAAAUAAAUAAAUGUGACUUAUCAUCUUAACAGAAUAGUUUUUUUAAAUCUGAUCAUUUCGUACAAUGCAGAAAAACAUUUGAUAAAACUGAAUAUAUUAUUUUAUGAUAAAAACUUUUACCAAACUAGGUACAGAAAAAAUAAACUUCAACAUAAUAAAGGCAAUAUAUGAGAAGCCCGUAAGUAAUAUUAUACUCAAUGGUGACAUUUGAAAGCCUUUUCUCUAAGAUCUGGAACAAGACAAGGAUAUGCAUUAUUAGUACUUCUAUUCAACAUAGUAUUGGAGGUCCUCUCUAGAACAAUGGGUCAAGAGAAAGAAAUAAAAGGCACCUAAAUGAGAAAAGAAGAAUCGCCACUGCUUAUUGAUGGCAUGAUUUUAUAUAUAGAAUGCCCUCACACUCCACCAAAAAAAUUGUUAGAAUAAAUAAAUAAAUAUAGUAAAGUUGCAGGAUGCAAAAUUGACAGAUAUAAAUCAGUAGUGUUUCUAUUCACCAACAACAAACUACCUAAAAAUAUAUUCAAGAAAACAAUACUAUUUACAAUAGCUGCAAAAUAGAAUAAAUACUUACGAAUAAAUUUAUCCAACUAGGUGAAAGGCUUGUACAUUGACAACUAUAAAAUAUUAAUAGAAGAAAUUGAAGAAGACAUAAAUAAAUGGAAUGUUCGUGGAUUGGAAGAAUUAAUAUUACUGAAAUGUACAUACUACCCAAAGUGAUCUACAGAUUCAAUGCAAUACCUAAUCAAAAUUCCAAUGUUUCAUAAAAAUAAAACGUAUAUGGAACCACAAAAAACCCCUACUGGUUACAGUUAUUAUGAAUAGAAAGAACAAAGCUGGAGGUAUCACACUACCUAAUAUACUGCAAAAUAAUUAAAACAGCAUAGUAUUGGCAAAAAGAAAUAGACUCAUCAAUCAAUGAAACAUAAUAAAGAGUCCAGAAAUGAACCCAGUGAUUCAUCAGCAUUGGUCAACUGAUUUUGACAAAGGUGCCAAAAAUAUGCAAUAGGAAAGGGAUAGACGCAUCAAUAAAAGUGCUGGGAAAACUGGCUUUCCACAUGCAGAAUUGGAACCUAAUUUUAUACCAUACACAAAAAUCAACUGAAAAUGGAUUACAGAUUUAAACAUAGACUGGAAACUCUAAAAUUACUAGAAGAAAACAUAGGGGAAAAAUUACAUUACAUUGGAUGGGACAAUGUUUUUUUGUAUUUGACCCCAAAAGUGCAGGCAACAAAAGCAAAACUAGACAAGUGGGAUUGCAUCAACCUAAAAAUCUUCUAUACAGCAAAUGAAACAGCUAACAGUGUAUAAAGACAAUCUAUUCUGAAAUGGGGGAAAAUAUUUGCUGGCCAUACAUCUGAUAAGAGGUUAAUACCCAAACAACUUAAUAGCAAGCAAAAAAAAAAAAAACAAAAACAAAAACAAAAAAUCCUAAUUAAAAUGGCCAAAGAACCUGAAUAGACAUUUCUGAGAAGACAUACAAAUUGCCAAUAAAUAUAAGAAAAAGUGCUCAACAUCACUAAUCAUUAGGGAAAUGCAAAUAAAAACCACAAUGAGAUAUCAUCUCACACCUGUCAGAAUGGCUUUAUCAAAAACAUGAAAGAUACGUGUUGGCAAGAAUGUGGAGAAAAGGGAACUCUCAUACACUGUUGGAGGGAAUGUAAAUUAGUACAUUCAUCAUGGAAAUAGUACAGAGGGUCCUUAAAAAACUAAAAAUAUAAUUGUUAUAUUACCUAGCAAUUCAACUUCUGGGUAUUUCUGCCACUCCCAUAUUCAUCACAGCAAUAUUUAAAAUAGCCAAGUUAUGGAAUCAACUUGAGUGUCCAUCAGCAGAGAAAUCAAUGAAGAAAAGGUUUAUAUAUAUAUAUGUACACAACAUACAUUGUGUGUGUGUGUGCAUCUAUAUAUAUACACUA
rnacentral:lncRNA from 1 species